UAUCCGCGCAUGCGUACUGACGACUGUCUGCGUGUUCAUUUGUGUUACCCUACACCAUGGCGGCGUUUCCUGCUGUUAUGCCGUGCCCAGCGGUCUUUGAUUAAGUUCCUUCCAUAGAAGAAUCCAUCGAGCCAGAACAGCCUGGUUACACCAACUCUCUUUGUAAUAUCAUCGUGGAGACAGAUGGAAACCAAAGAGAUGUGAACCGAAAAGCCCAUUGCAGUCACCGGAUUUUCUGAGGGACACGGCUUGUGUUUCUGUAAAUCGGAUCAUCUUUGCCCCAAUUCCGACUCAGUGACAGCGACCUUCUCCUGCGGUCCCUGGUAGCCUCUGCUAUUUCCCAUUCUGUCGAACUGGGGCCUGCCUGUUUAUGCCUGCUCCCUGCCAGCCCCACACUCACUGAGCCACAGGGGAAGUGCCAACGACAGACUGAAUGUGCUGUGGGAUCCAUGGGGUUCCAGGACACCUAUGGGCCUCGCUCUGCUCGCCUAAACUUCCCAUUUGGGUGAGGUCUGGAGCUUGGGGCACAGGCCCCAUGUCCAGGACAUCACAUCCAGGCUGGGAUUCGGUUUUUCCUGGAGCAGAUAAAGAUUUCUGAGCAUCCUGAGACCACAUCAUCGAAGGCCCACAAGCUAGAACUGAGUGGUUCACAGCAAACACAUUCUCUCCUGUUCUGAAGGUCAGAGUUCAAUAUCAAGGCUUGGGGGUUGGGGGAGCUGACUCUUCCCAAGACUCCUGGAGAGAUGGUCUUUCCGGUCUCUCCCAGGUACUCCUGGGGUUGAGA